rnacentral:rRNA from 1 species
UGAGGAAUAUUGGUCAAUGGACGGAAGUCUGAACCAGCCAAGUAGCGUGCAGGAUGACGGCCCUAUGGGUUGUAAACUGCUUUUGUAUGGGGAUAAAGUUAGGGACGUGUCCCUAUUUGCAGGUACCAUACGAAUAAGGACCGGCUAAUUCCGUGCCAGCAGCCGCGGUAAUACGGAAGGUCCAGGCGUUAUCCGGAUUUAUUGGGUUUAAAGGGAGCGUAGGCCGUUUGGUAAGCGUGUUGUGAAAUGUAGGAGCUCAACUUCUAGAUUGCAGCGCGAACUGUCAGACUUGAGUGCGCACAACGUAGGCGGAAUUCAUGGUGUAGCGGUGAAAUGCUUAGAUAUCAUGAAGAACUCCGAUUGCGAAGGCAGCUUACGGGAGCGCAACUGACGCUGAAGCUCGAAGGUGCGGGUAUCGAACAGG